GGGCACGUAGUUCAGUGGUAGGUCGCAUCCCUAGCAGUACUAGAGCCUUGUGGGCCUCGCGGAGGCCAAGUGAGAGGAAGUCAUACUGGUAGAUGAGACGUGGGUUCGAUUCCUGGCGAGUCCU